GACGAACGCUGGCGGCAAGCUUAACACAUGCAAGUCGAACGCCGUAGCAAUACGGAGUGGCAGACGGGUGAGUAACGCGUGGGAACGUGCCUUUCGGUUCGGAACAACUGAGGGAAACUUCAGCUAAAACCGGAUACGCCCUUCGGGGGAAAGUUUACGCCGAAAGAUCGGCCCGCGUUAGAUUAGCUAGUUGGUGGGGUAAUGGCCUACCAAGGCGACGAUCUAUAGCUGUUCUGAGAGGAAGAUCAGCCACACUGGGACUGAGACACGGCCCAGACUCCUACGGGAGGCAGCAGUGGGGAAUAUUGGACAAUGGGCGCAAGCCUGAUCCAGCUAUGCCGCGUGGAUGAAGAAGGCCUUAGGGUUGUAAAGUCCUUUCGUUGGUGAAGAUAAUGACGGUAACCAAAGAAGAAGCCCCGGCUAAUUUCGUGCCAGCAGCCGCCGUAACAC
rnacentral:rRNA from 1 species